rnacentral:rRNA from 1 species
UAAUACUAGGGGUGCGAGCGUUGUCCGGAAUCACUGGGCGUAAAGGGUCCGUAGGCGUCUCAAUAAGUCAUUCGUUAAAGACACCGGCUUAACCGGUGGCCUGCAUAUGAAACUGUUGAGAUAGAGUAUAGGAGAGGAAAGUGGAAUUCCUGGUGUAGCGGUGACAUGCGUAGAUAUCAGGAGGAACACCAAUGGCGAAGGCAACUUUCUGGCCUAUUACUGACGCUGAGGGACGAAAGCGUGGGGAGCAAACAGGAUUAGAUACCCUGGUAGUCCACGCCGUAAACGAUGAGUACUUGGUGUCGGGGGAUUCGACCCCUUCGGUACCGGAGCUAACGCAUUAAGUACUCCGCCUGGGAACUACGACCGCAAGGUUG